GUUGAAGUGUGAUGAUCAUACGUCUGUAAUGCAUUGUAUGUCCCAUAAUAGGUCCCAUCCUUCUACUCUUUCCCAGAAGUUGAUGACUAUUCAUAGCUAUUAUCUUGACACCAAAUAAGAGUUUGACCCAAUGCUUUAUUUCUGUCCUAGUUGAUCCUGAUUCGACAUUAGAAGUAUAUUGAUUUUUCCCCAAUAACCGAAUACUUUUGUCUGUAAAUACCCUAGUUGAUCCUGAUUCGACAUUAGAAGUAUAUUGAUUUUUCCCCAAUAACCGAAUACUUUUGUCAGUAAAUACUGCAUAUUUGAUUCCAUCCAUAAAUCGAUUUUCUUCACUAUGAGUUAUAGUCUCAAUU
rnacentral:lncRNA from 1 species